ACAUGUUCUGGCAAGUGCGUGGGCUCAUGAACUUGCACACACCAGGAAAAUCAACACAGAUGUGCAAUGGGAUUUUGCAGUAAGAUUCCAUAAAGAUGCUCCACCAGAGCAAAUGAUAUCGUGAUAGCAACAGCAACUCUUCAGAACUGGAUCAAUUCUGAAUAGAAAUUGGGCAGGGCAACCAUCAAUUUGACAACAAAUGUGCAGCAGUGGUGGAUUCUAUGUCUAGAUUUCCCAUAAGAUUAUUGUGGAAAUGACUUUGCUGACACGCAUGAAAAAUGAUGUGGAAUUUAAAUCUUUGAGGCUAACAUUCGUAAAUGAGUUGAGUGUUGAGGACAUGUGGCGAAGACCUAAAGCUUGUCCAGGAUUACUCGAUGUGUUUGUGGUGCUCCCACAGUGGGGCAAAGUUUUCCUCUCAUAUUAAUGUGCAAUUUGUCACUCUUACUGGAAUAGAAGUAUAGUUUUCUGGAGCAUAUUAUGAAGAGUUAAAAAAUAAUCCCUCACAUGUUAUGACCUUGGCUGUAUUUCCUUGACAGUGCAGUUGAUUCAACAUCCUUACUUGCAAAUGUUGCAUGAAUGGUUUAUUCUAGAGCUCCAGAGACUGAACAUUCUUGUUGAUGGUAGGCUUCAACCAGAUUGAGCUCCUGCUGACUUAUUCUGUCUGUGUUAGAGAAAUAUUGGAUGGAAUUUUAUCUCGCAGGUGGAUAAGGAGAAGGUCACUGCAUCUGCCAGCACUGAUCGAGUGGACUCUGAGGAGUCCACAUCUGAAUUGACAGUUCCCUCUAGGAAAUAAUUAAGCAGCUUGUUGCAAAACAGUGAUUCCAGACAAUUACCGAUUUGAAGCGAGCUUCUACAAAGGCAUUCCAGGAAAUCGCACUGCCUAUGCUUCAGAAAAUUUCACAUGGACCUGGCGCUACAUCGUUUUGUGCCGUGACAGUGAUGGUGCCCAUACCAAUGUCUCUCAGUAAACAAGGGAGCAUAAAACAUCAGUGUUUGUUACACAACUGUGACAUGUUCAAAAUAAAUAAAUACACAUAUCAUGACCAAAAAAGAAGGGGAGUAGCAAGACUUCGACCAGACUGUAUGAAAUUAAAAUCGAUGCAUGUUUCACACUUCAUAAAGAAGCUGAACUAUAAACUUCCAUAAGAUCACUUUUAAUGUAGGACAAUUUGCUUAUACAAACUAAUUUGCAGAGGACUAUUAUGUUGAUUAUGUAAGCUGUUGAAGUAUUCAAAAUUGUUUGCACAAAUUUAGCUAACAUUUGAAAAGCUGUUUAGUUCAAGGUGCAAAUCUUAGUAGUUUCUAAUUAAUUUUGAUUGUGGUGCACAAUACCAGCCAGCUUCAUUUAAUAUGUGAUAGUAUAUUUUAAAAAUGCCUUUAUCAGAAGAUGCAGCAUAAUUUGUAACUUGUUUGAAUGGAUACCAGAGACAGUUAUGUGAAAAGCACUGCUACAGUCUUCAUUUUUCGGCUGACUGGUGGGUACUGAUGAACAAAACCUGUUGAUGUUCACUGAUAUGGGUCUUAAUGAAUGUAAUAGGCCCUUCUGUGCAAGUAUGGGACCUUACCUAUGUGAAAAUUGAAGUCACGGUGAUAGUACUAAUGGAUCGGUUGGAAAUGCUUGUCUCAUUGUAGUUUUCCUCAAGUUCAAGGCAGUUGUGGCAACAGUAUAGUGAAUAUACAGAACUGCCCAAUUUGGGGUACUUUUAAACCUUGUGUCGUGCUCACAGGGCCAUAGCCCUCGCCUCUUGUAAUAUGUUCGGAAUUACAAUCACCUUUAUUCGUGGCCCAUUCUUCUUUGAAGAAAAUACACCCAGGUGUACCAUGUGACGUCUGCACGUUAUUGAGAACUUAUACAGCAGCUGUGAGGAAACCAUUGUUUUCGUGCAAGAUGGGGGCAACAUCUCGUGUCACUCGCCCAGUGAUAGAGACUGAGAGACGUGAUCACGUUAAUAACCGUGAUCUCUCACUUGUGACGAGUUCAGAUACAUCAAGUUGGUAUUACGUGAUUUACCCGAGUAUAAGUGGUCAAGUGAAACAUUAAAUUUAAGUUCAAAAUUUGUGGUACCAUGACGGAGAUGUUGAAACAAGCAAUCGGCAGCUCAACAGCAGACCAGAUGAAAGCCUAUGAAGAAUAUUGCCUGCAAAUUAUAAUUUUCGUAUGUUAAGUAUUGAAAGUUGCAUAUGUACUACACAGUUAUUUUGUGCAAGUGAAGAGGAAGUUAUGGAGGACCGCAUCAAACUACUCUGAAGACUGUUCACCAAAUCUCGAUUACUCUUUCUUACGAGUUGGCGUGGGACAUAAGAAGUGGCAGAAAAUCGCACUGGACGCAGAGUCUGUAACUGCACAUCCUUGUAUCAGCCUAAUGGACUGGUUGGUGCCUGAUGUCCAAAUGAGGAUUUUUAAAUCUGGAACUGUACCCACAAAGUAAUGUUCAGAAGCGGCAGCACUGUUUCUUGGUACGACACGAAGUUUCUUCUGUACGUGAAGCUGGUGCAUCUUGCAGUCGUCAGAAGUUGCUAUAAGGCAAAGAUGGGGUACACGGCCUACAGGAAGCUCUACACAGCAUAGCUCUGUGAUAAGUUGCUAAAAAAUGUGCACACUGUGCAAUUCUAGUUGUGGUCACUCACAUCAGAAUGGUUCUUAAGCAGGUAAAACAAUUGCGAUUUUUGAAGAGUUUGCAGACUGUUUAUCUGAACUUCAGAAAUUUUAUACGAGGAGACGCUAAUGUUGGUUCAGCAGAGACAGUAAAUGUAGAUGAUGCGGAUAUAUGUCGUGUUAUGGUUUCUGUUGACGCAAUAGGUAUUCGACAAAAAAUUUGUUUCCUGUUGGUUAUUGGCACGAUCGUGUGCUUUUGUAAAAACAGCUAUAUUGAGACAUUUCAGAGUGUGUGCGCAAAUGGACAGGCCUGAAGAAUUUGUGAUAUGUCUCCUGGAACCUUACCAAAUGUUUGGAGAUUAAUGUAAACCUUUUAGAAGGAUUUGUUAAUAUUUAUCCCUAUAUUUUUUUUAAUGGUUGUAACACCAUGCCCAUAUAUUGUAAACAAACUCUUAUUAUUUAGAAAAGAAGUAGGUUGAAAGCAAAUUUUCGCAGUAAUUCUGCAAGAGAUAGCUUUUUGCAGGGGUCUGAAUUGCUGUGGUGUGGGCAAAGUAACAAAGGAAAAAAUAGGAUUGAGUUAUUAUUUUAAGGCACUGCAUUCUGCGCCCUGGCAGCUUUCUUCUGAUGUACUCUAUUCUGGUGGCCCUGUGAUGGGGAAUGUCACAAUUUUGCACUGUGAUCCUUACCUGCCAGUGAGAAGUUCCCUUAGCCUUUGACUGUAAACAAACGCAGCUACCAUGUCAAAGGUCAUAGUCCUUAGAUUAACUUUUA